rnacentral:pre_miRNA from 1 species
CCGUGAUGAUGAUGGUGAUGAUGAUGAUGAUGAUGAUGAUGAUGAUGGUCAUCAUCAUCAUCAUCGUCAUCAUCAUCAUCGUUAUUA